UACGUAGGGUGCAAGCGUUGUCCGGAAUUAUUGGGCGUGAAGAGCUCGUAGGCGGUUUGUCGCGUCUGCUGUGAAAACUCGGGGCUUAACCCCGGGCCUGCAGUGGGUACGGGCAGACUAGAGUGCGGUAGGGGAGACUGGAAUUCCUGGUGUAGCGGUGAAAUGCGCAGAUAUCAGGAGGAACACCGGUGGCGAAGGCGGGUCUCUGGGCCGUAACUGACGCUGAGGAGCGAAAGCGUGGGGGAGCGAACAGG
rnacentral:rRNA from 1 species